rnacentral:rRNA from 1 species
GUGGGGAAUCUUGCGCAAUGGGCGAAAGCCUGACGCAGCCAUGCCGCGUGGAUGAUGAAGGUCUUAGGAUUGUAAAAUCCUUUCACCGGUGAAGAUAAUGACUGUAGCCGGAGAAGAAGCCCCGGCUAACUUCGUGCCAGCAGCCGCGGUAAUACGAAGGGGGCUAGCGUUGCUCGGAUUUACUGGGCGUAAAGGGCGCGUAGGCGGACAUUUAAGUCAGGGGUGAAAUCCCGGGGCUCAACCUCGGAACUGCCUUUGAUACUGGGUGUCUUGAGUAUGAGAGAGGUGUGUGGAACUCCGAGUGUAGAGGUGAAAUUCGUAGAUAUUCGGAAGAACACCAGUGGCGAAGGCGACAUACUGGUCCAUUACUGACGCUGAGGCUCGAAAGCGUGGGGAGCAAACAGGAUUAGAAACCCCUGUAGUCC